rnacentral:rRNA from 1 species
CUACGGGCGGCUCCAGUGAGGAAUAUUGGACAAUGGUCGAAAGACUGAUCCGGCCAUGCCGCGUGCAGGAUGACUGCCCUAUGGGUUGUAAACUGCUUUUAUACGGGAAGAAAAACACCUACGUGUAGGUGACUGACGGUACCGUAAGAAUAAGGACCGGCUAACUCCGUGCCAGCAGCCGCGGUAAUACGGAGGGUCCAAGCGUUAUCCGGAAUCAUUGGGUUUAAAGGGUCCGUAGGCGGGCUAUUAAGUCAGAGGUGAAAGUUUGCAGCUCAACUGUAAAAUUGCCUUUGAUACUGUAGUCUUGAAUUGUAGUGAAGUGGUUAGAAUAUGUGGUGUAGCGGUGAAAUGCAUAGAUAUCACAUAGAAUACCGAUUGCGAAGGCAGAUCACUAACUAUAUAUUGACGCUGAGGGACGAAAGCGUGGGGAGCGAACGGGAUUAGAUACCCUUGUAGUC